AGCAGCCGCGGUAAUUCCAGCUCCAAUAGCGUAUAUUAAAGUUGUUGCAGUUAAAAAGCUCGUAGUUGAAUUUCGGGAUCAAUAUAUCGGUCGUACCUUGGUACGUACUGGUAUCAUUGGUUUCUCCUUUCUGACGAACCAUGAUGUCAUUAAUUUGGUGUUAUAGGGAGUUAGGACUGUUACUUUGAAAAAAUUAGAGUGUUUAAAGCAGGCAUUAGCUUGAAUACAUUAGCAUGGAAUAAUGAAAUAGGACGUUUGACCUUAUUUUGUUGGUUUCUAGGAUCGACGUAAUGAUUAAUAGGGAUAGUUGGGGGCAUUAGUAUUCAAUUGUCAGAGGUGAAAUUCUUGGAUUUAUUGAAGACUAACUACUGCGAAAGCAUUUGCCAAGGAUGUUUUCAUUAAUCAAGAACGAAAGUUAGGGAUCGAAGACGAUCAGAUACCGUCGUAGUCUUAACCAUAAACUAUGCCGACUAGGGAUUAGGAUGAUGUUAAUUUUAUAAUGUACUUAUUCGGUUGCCUUACGGGAAACCUAAAGGUGUUU
rnacentral:rRNA from 1 species